UGUCGCCCCGGGCGGAGCGGCCGCAGCCCUUCCCGAGGAGGCGGGAACGGGGAGGGCCCGGCGCGGGGCACGCAGCUGCAACAAUAGGUGCCGGUGCCGCCGCACGGAGCGGCUCCCGCCCCACUUGGGGAAAUCUUGGAAGAUUUCCACGCGCGCUUUGCACUUCAGUGUGAAAGGCUGAUGAAGGCGAGAGAUGGCAAGCUUGCAAGGUAAAGCCAAAGUAAAAAGAAAAUGGGACCUGGGAUGCAAAUUUCCUCCUGUACGUCUUUCCCAGAGCAUCUCGCAGGGUCUUGAGGAGGCUGUGUGAUCGAUGAUGGGUCUGGCUGCCAAUUCGUCACUGUUGCUGUGGUAACAGAGCAGUGGUCCCCUGUGGUUACUGCUAGACAAGCAUAGGACUAUUUCUAAGCAGAAACGUCCAUGCAGAGAAGAGAAAGAAGAGAGAAAGCACGGUAAUCAUUCUGCCCUCACAAUCCCCCUUCCUUCUCUAUCCACUGUAAGCAACUGUGGGCAUGGGUUUGGGCAGACUAUGAAGCCCUGCUGUCUUCUAAUUCUUGUCUUGGCCCUUAUUAACUCUGGAAGAAGACUGCUAAUGGCACCAGUUGCCAGCCAGGAGAGUCACACAAAGUGUCUCUUGCAAGUUCUCCAGGUAAGUCCCACAGUGAUGUCUAGGGGCUUGCCCAGCACAACUGCCAGUCACAGUCCCUGGUGCCGAGAAAUGAUGGGACUUGCAGUAAGUCAGCAACUGAGGAGCAAGGAGCCAGAAAACAAAAUGGAGGAAGAAAAGCAAAAAGAAACAAAUGGACAGUGCAGGCAAGAAACAUACAGAAAACAAACUCAGAGCAGAAUCUGAGCCACUUAAUAUGCUUUAACUAAUUUGUGGCUGGCAUCUCUAAACACCAGGAAAGCUGAUUGAAACCCCAGAAAGGUGGCAUACUUGUACUGAGCCCUGUAAGCACAUACAGACAUGGAGGCAUUACACAGGCAGCAAGGAGAAUCCAAAUAUUGGGCUUGCAGUCUAUGCACUACCGUAUGUAUGCGCAUGUUACAUAUAUGCAGUCCCAACAGCUCUGAGAAGUACAAAAAUCAUGAGUCAGGCCUUGUAUUAUAAGAGGAUAGGCUUGGAAACCCUUAAGAUUUUGAGCUUUAAAGAAAAAAAAAACAGAACUGUGAGCACUUUUUUGCUAAAAAAGCGAAAGUGACAGAAAAAGGUGACGAACAGAAGUGGUCACUGAAGUUUGUCCUGCCACACGUUAGUACCUGUGCUGGGGAAGAUACACAAACCUGCCGGUGCGUUUUAUACUGCUUUAUCCAAAGAAAACUGCAAAAGCAGAUUUGCCCUAACUGUCCUGUCUGACAGCUUUCACUGAUGGAUAUAAACAGCAAAUGGUAAUUUUGGAACAAAUUGCAGCAAAAGGCUGAUGAGAUGCUACCCAAGUGCCUAAUACAGAACGUAAGGAACAGCCCUCUGGAGAAUAAUGGGGGGAAGGAAGAAACCGUAUAGAAGAGUUUUGACCUUUUUCACUGAAUCAAGAAGGAAACAAUAUAUGGGUCUUCCUUCUCUUUGGCUCAGUCGCUCUGUGAGAGCAGGAUUGGUUUCUGUGGCUCAUUAACCCAGGCUGCUGCUGUUUCAUGGAGAUCAAUGUAUCAUUUAAUAGAGAGAGGCUUUUCAGCUCUGCGAGAUUUUAUCUGCUGAUGGCUACCAUGAUAUUUAUAGACAUAUCCAUCAGCAUAACAGCAGGAAGCAAUUCUCUAGGGGUCGAAUUGGGUGGAUUCUCCCCAUUUAAACUCAAUUAUGGAUCCAGCUUUCUGUACAGGAUUAACCACUUAACUCAAUGAAUCCCGAACAUCAUCAGCUAUUGUUCACAAGAACUGAUGAUCUCCAUGGCUUAGUUGUGGGAUGGUUGACUUGUUUUCAGUCUCAAUUAUCUUUUCAAAGAAUAAGGUCCUUUGUUAACCUCUGACUUGCUGAGCAAUGUGUAGGCAGCCUAUAAGUACUUCACAGUCCUCUUUUAACCCUAUGAUUCUGGCAGCUCUAGAGAUUUAGUCCCAUGCUUGUCCUAUUUCUGACCAGUCUGAAUCUUCAACUGUCACAUGAAUAGCAAGACCAGAGAACCAGCUUUGAUCACAGCAAGCUUCAGAAAAUAAACAGCAGUGGCUUGGAAGAUCAAGGCAGAAACUAUGUGUAUAUUAUGCAAAGUGUUUUAAUGCUUGCCGCCUAACUUUUGGUAAUGAUCUACAGAGCAUGCCUCCCUGCUAAGACUAUUUUGAGACUCAUCUCCUUUGGGGAUUUAGUAUGCACUGAUUCUAUCUCCUAAAAUUAUCCAAGUAUCUUUCUAGUAUUGAGUUUCUUCUGGUGAGCACACCUUUUGGCAGGAGACAGUCUUGCAAGGGGAGCUUAGAAUAGACCUAUUGUCCCAGCAGCUCACAGUGCAUAGGGAAUACUAAAUGCUGCUUAGUUUGACACAGAAGGAUGAAUGCCAAGUCCUGGCAUGGACAAGUGUUCUUGAAUACAAAUAACAAAUUUGAGCUAUUUAAGGUAACCUUCCCUCCUGUUUACAGUGACCUCCACCCUCUCAUGACUUGGUUGUAUUCCUGGUGCCAGCCUGACACACCAACAUGCAGCUCUCACCUACCUCUGUCUACUAUCCUUCUAGUGCUUCCUCACAAAUAUACUUAAUGAGAAACAUGAGGGCAGAUGCUGUCUAUUCCUGAGUGCAAAAAUUAAGUUCCCAAUCUCUGGCAGAACCCACCCCAUUUUCCAUCUUUGAAAGUCUGGUCAAAAUUUAUAUAUGAAUCUCAAUCCCAUUACUUUGCUCUUGAGUAAUUUUAUUUUGCUAGUGUGUACAGAUACAGUGUACUCUUGCUCCUUUGCUUUACAUUAGUCUAUUUCUUCCAUCCAGAUAUCUCAGAACACUCCAUAAAUACAACGUGAACUACAAAACUAAUAAGCCUUCUGUCAGGUAGGAAAGGAAAUGAUGUUGAAAUCUAUUUCAUGAAGAGACAAGCUGAUGUUCAGAGAGAGAAAAAUUUUAUAGGAAGAAAUCUCUAGUAGAUAAACUGUACAUCCGAGAUGACUUGGGAUAAUUUUAAUGCUGGAAAUGUACUUAUCCAGGACACUUUUAAUUUUUAGUGAAAUCAAGACACUUGUGCAAAUCUAUUAAUUAGUAGAAUUGUUUAAAAAAAUGACUACAUUAUAUAGUUCUUUAAUCAUCUUAGAAACACCUGGAGCAGCUUAAGAAGUCAUUGUCAAGUGUUGUGUCACCCCACCAGCCCACCGCCAAUGGCACUAACAGACCUUAAAUGCCCUUACCAGCCUCACUGAGGACUCUAACCUUGCACAUCCUGCCCAGUGGUCCUGGGGAGGGAGACUCCAUUUAAGCCCUAUCAUGGGCACCCAGGCCUGGCCUGAGCUAUGCUGUAGCUGUGCAAGUCUGCAGCCCUCCUUCUGUCUCCUGGGUGGAUGUUGGACCUAUGUUGUAGUCCUACCUCCUGCUGCUCCUGACUGGACUCCCAGGAUAGACCCUAAACCUAAUUCAUCACCUUGCCUUGUCUGGCAUGGUUGAUGAAACCUGUUAUCAGCACCCAGUACUGCCCACCCUGCACAGGUCCCCUCGGUGUGACUGCGCCCCGGCUGGGGAUGACACUGCCCCUGUGGGCCCUGGGCUGACCCUUGGCCCACAACUUGCCCCAUGCUCUUUCUGCUCCCCAACACCCUUGUCCCCACUGCCAGGUCAUUCUCAUACUGGAAAUGCUGGAAAAGAUCUUGCAAGCACUUCAGUGCAAAGCCAGCAAGCCACCUUGGUCCAAACACUUCAAUGGUGGUUUAAAAGCAGCCACGGACUUUGCGGCAAAGUGGCUGCCGAGCACUAACACAAGCAGUUCUGUUACCACUCUCCAAAUGAGCCAGUAUUCAUCUGGGGGAGAGUAAGUUUCUGUGGGAAUGCCAUGCUGAAUUCCCAUGCUUACAUCUGCUAAAGGUUGACUGCAGUGGGAGACAGGAGAGUUAGAGCUUAAGGCUUACUUUAAUGAAUGAAAAAUAUUUAAAAUACAACUUGCCUGAUCUACAGUUGAGUUCCAAAAGAUAUUAAUUACAGUUUAUUACCUUUCCCAUAAUGUUUCAAACAAGUUCUUUCAGGCUGUCUACAUCAAGCAAUUUUUUGGAAGUAAACAUUUUGGAUCUAACCCUAAAUGUGAAAUUAUUUCAGAUUUAGUAAUACAGACUGGGUUUUCAACUUCCUCCGUGAACAGGCACCUGGAGCGAAAACAUGUCUAGAAAAUUUUGGCCUGCCUGUUGAGCUUGCCUGGGCUCAGGCUGCUGUCAAAGCUGAAAACCUCACUGAGGUUAGAUUCCUCACGGGCUGCCCCUGCCCCAGUGCCAAGAAGUAAACACAUAUGUCUAAGGCUACGUAAACUAAUUAGACACCUAAUCCUACCUUCACCUGCAUCUGGUACUGCUGCGAAAGAGGAGAAGGAGCAGCAAGGGGGAAAGAGAACAUCAGCUUGUCAGAGAAACGGGCCAAUACACUGCUCGAGACAUAAUUUUUUUCUAUCAGCAUAUCUCUAAAACCAAUAAGACCCUAAAAUAGCACACAGGUCUUCAAAAGGAAGGCAGAAAUCCUCCCCAAAAGAGAGGUACUGCACUUUCAUUGAAUACAUAAGAAAGGUCAGAAGGCAAUUAAUAAAAAAAGCAAUAGCUUCUUAAUUACUGUAUCAAGUUUGUGAGCAAAAUGGCAAGCAGGGGAGUCCCGCCCACUGCAGUCCUCCUGCCAGAGGGGCACAGAGGGGUACGCUCACCCUGAAAUACAAGACGCAAAGGUUGCAUCAGCAAAGAACCCCUUCCCAGUGGAUCCUCUCCCAACGCUCAGGCACUGCUGCCACGCAGCUCUGUGGCACUGCUGGCUUUCCUAAAACAAGCUCUCACCGCAACUUUUGUGAGCAUCGUAAGACCUGGCCACAUAAGAGCCAGGGCCAACAGCCUGAGAUACAAAAGAGUUUGUUAACUUCUGUAACAUUUUAUGCAAUUUCCAAAUCAAGAUGCAGAACGCGCAUCACCUCUUUGUAGCAACAAUUAACAGGAGAUUGUGGUAAGCGUGCAUUCAAAAUGAGAGACAGAUGUCUAACAAACAUAGAAAAAAGAAGUACUGAGAAGUUAGGAAGCUAGGUUAAAAAUGAAACAUAUUUUCUCAAAUUGCCUUAUGGUACAAAUACUGUAAGGAUUCAUGCUGUCAAGCACUUCUCCCAACCAUGACAGCACAUUUGCUUUUGAAAAAGAGGAAAGGUGGAGAUUAAUGGAUAACUGUUUUUGGCAGGUGGGACUCUAAGAAGAGGUGUUAACUAUUAGAAGGGCUUGCGACUCUAAAUCAGUGAGCAGAGAGAUGCUGUGCUAGGUGAACAGGAUUAAAUUGACCUACAGUGAUGACAGGCUUUAGCAUUUUCUCACAGGUAAUAGCUGGUUGCAGAAAAGAAGAUGCCUUAGGCCUUUAACCAAAUUGGUCACCUUAAAGCUAUGAAAUGCCCCACCCAGCACUAAUUAUUGCUAUUAUAACAAUAACAAUGAAAUCAGAAGUAACAGCUGUUAUUCUUUGACUGCUGCCUUGCCAAGGCUGGUAUUUUGUUUGAUAUAGAGCAAAGAAAGAGCCUUAAUCAACUUAAAAUUGCCCUUUGUUUCAGAAAGCUUUUGCCAUUAUCUGAGUAAAACUCAAGUUUUGACAAGUUGUGAAAACAACUCUGUGUUUCCAGUUUCCAGAGUUUAUACCUUACACUAUGUUUUGUACAUCUGUGAUGAAGAGUAUGAGCAACUCCCUGUUUUAACCUUAUGUUAUGUGAUACCCCGUAAUUGGACUGUGGCUGUGACUACUUCUAUAGGUGCCUUUUCUGCCUUCUACCAUCCUCACCUGUUUAUGUGGGUUUUCAUGCAGCCAAAAUAAGAGGCGACUGCUUUUGCACACGGUAACUGGGAACAUCAGCAGGUGGUCUCAAAAUCAGGUGAGUCGCCUCUUACUAGCUCUAUUUUUGAAACAACAAAAUAGGUUUGAUUCUGUGCCACCAUGCUUGGUGAGAUAAGAAAGCGGAGCAGCACGAUCGGCCAUCUGUUCAAUGUGCAGCUGGGAAACGUUCACCUUCACCCAACCGAGGGCUCUGAGGCCCGCCUGCCAGGAGCUACGGGAGCCCUGAAUCUGGGCUAACUGAAGGGAUCUGCAGCCAGCCAUCUUCAUACUUAGUAGGGAUGUACUGUUGAUGGAAAUUACAAGCAAAUUACAGAUUCCAGCAUGUCAUGGCCUAGCCAGGCCCAAACAAAAUCAUGCGGUGAUAAGGACAGAGCGCUGCAUGCAUGGACCCACGGUCGGUCUCCAUGGACCUCAUUGCUUUAUUAAAAAGUUGCUGAUAAACUACGAUGUACUACAAAACUCCACAUCUUUCCUAGAAACUAUCCUUUCCUCAGUUGUGUUUAUAAUGCCUUUUAUGAUUUCUAGCUCUUCCGUUUGUUUUUAUAUGGAUGUAAGAGGGUUUCUUUCUCUUCAAAUCAAAUCAUAGGGCCUCACUGUUUCUAGCUCAAAAUCUCCCUAAUGCUGCUAAUCUCCUAUUAACAGCCUACUGACACAGAAGAGACCACAGAAAAGACUGAUUGCCAGCUCCCUGGCCCUGUGACCGUAUGCCGGUCGGAUCUGGAUUAAUACUUGAGGCGAUUUACCUCAGGAGGCCUUGUUGCAGGUGCCUGUAACUCUAAACUCCCCUUGAACUGCCUGGCUGGAGAGGGAGGAGGGGAACCUGUGAAUCCACAGCUGAUGCAGACACAAACAAGGCCCCUCUGAAACUCACUUUUGUUUUCAUAUAGAAAAUCAGGAUGACAGUAGCAAAAAAAUUCUUGAUUUCAGAUAAAAGGCGAGGGAGCUGGGCAUCAACAUCCCACCUGGGACACAAAAUCCACUGCGAUGCUCCCUCUUACUACCUGUCACUGGCAACAAGUUUGCUUGAGUUCAGCCUUUCUGUUUUCUAGAAAUGGUUAUCCAGGAGCACAAACACGGUGAUUUCCUCCAGCUUUUGUGUAGCAGUAUAGCCUUGCCAUGUAGGCUAAUUCAGGUACAGAAGUGACUCUUUGAGCUUUAAAAACAAUUUAAGCUGUUCACUUUUAAGGAAAGAUGGAAAAACAGCAUCAUUCUUAUUUGGCAAUGAGCAUCCACAUGACAGUUUGGUUCACCAGCCCAGACAGCCUCAGGCUCCUCUCCAGGGCUGGGCUGCACCUCUGGCAUUCGCAGCACUGUGCGGUGGGGGCUCUGUUGCUCCAUGACCCUAUGUAGUAGGAGGAGGGUGCUGGGAUGAUGGAUCAGGUUGGCCAGCUGUGCUUGACAUCACCCAGCAGAAGGGAGUCCACGUGCUGCAUCUGGGCUGCACAAGGAAUAUGCCUGACUGCCAGGGAGAGAAACAGGCAGGACACGAUGCUGCCCACAACCAGGUCAACCUCCAAGGCUUUGUGUGUGCCUGAGCCUGGAGCUAGAGCAUCUCUUGUCUCCACUAAGAUAACUCUAUUUCAGAAUGAUCUCAUUUUCCUUGUUAACAAAUUGCUAAUAAAAUAGGUAAUUGUUCCUGGCCUGAAGUUAAAUAAGCCUGUUACUGAGUUACUAUUAUUUGCAGGUCAGAGAGCCAUAAGAGGUUUGGCCUUCAAGGCACCACACUGUCCCCUCUAGGUAGAGGGGUGAAGUACAAAAACACUCUACCAUGCUUUACAGAGAAAUUAAUUUUACCUGUAAUUACUAUAAUUAAAAGGCUGCUUGUCCUUCCUUGGCUUCUUAAGCAACCACACUGCAACUCAUACAGAUCUUCUGUUUAGAGCAACUCCUACCUCUCCAGGACCUUUGCCUGCCUCUAACAUAACCCCACAGCACUGCAGCUUGUAUAUCUUUCCAUAGGCCUUUGUUAAUUAAUAAGGAGCAUCUGCAGGGAAACAGGAUCUGACUCACUCUGCAGCAGCUGCUCCUGCUGCUCACUUCCCACCUGAAACAACAGUCCUCUGUUUCAAAAGUUGCCUCCAUCACUGCAGCAGCUGGCUCCAACACCACCAGUACAAUGCUGUGCUGCCCUUCUAAGGGAGAGAAUAUUCUUGGCGGUUUCCCAGGAAAGAAAUUCUUUAACUUGAAAUUCUUUGUAUAUUGCAGACUUACCUUGAUUUUGUGCUGUCUCGCUCCUUUUCUGAGUGUCAGUGGGGAGCAUCCAGCCAGUACAAGUCUUCUUAAAAAUUUAUUCCUUAUCCAUAUUUGGGAAUUUGUGCUGGGCACUAGCUGGUACGAGGCAUGUUCUUCCCACAGUGCACUUUGGGACUUGUAGUUCCCAAAAAGGAAUGUUAUUUUUCAAAUUGCAAGCGCCAAGCAACAGAAACAGAAGUCUGAAAUGCCUUUGCCUCUGACUUUGCUUAGCUGCUAGGCCCUUCCUUUUACAAUGAUUCUGUGCUGUGGGUUUUUUUGCCUUAACCAGCCUGA